AAUCUAGUGCUGCGAGCGAACGGGAAGAGCCCAGCACCGAAUCCCAAAGGCCAAGCCUUUCGGGAAAUGUGGUGUUCAGGAGGGUCCGACUCUCCCGGAGUCUUUUUACCUAGUACAAGUCCAUCUUGAACGGGGCCACGGUCCGUAGGGGGUGCCAGGCCCGUAGGGACAGGUAUGGAUUCCGGGUGGACCUCUCCUUAGAGUCAGGUUGCUUGAAAGUGCAGCCCUAAGUGGGUGGUAAACUCCAUCUAAGGCUAAAUAUGACCACGAGACCGAUAGCGAACAAGUACCGUGAGGGAAAGUUGAAAAGAACUUUGAAGAGAGAGUUCAAGAGUACGUGAAACCGUUCAGGGGUAAACGGAAAAGACUCGAAAUUCCGAACGGGGAGAUUCAAGUUCACUCGCUGGUCCGCCGGCACUGAUCGCGGGAUGGCCUUUCGACCCCGUGCGGCUUCGGCCGUCGCGGUGGUGUAGGUCGCCCGUAUCGGAGCCGUGCGAUCGCGGGGGACCGCACUUCUCUCCUAGUAAGACGUCGCGACCUGUUGGCUCGCGGUCUAAGGCCCAAAGGUAUGUCUGUUCGGAGCUGGCGUUUUCGUCGGCACUGAGCAGCCCUUUGGUGACCAGGCCGAUGGGCCGACAGUAUCAAACGACGGUGUAGAACCGCUCUCACGAGAGCGUCCUCUGCAGAGCGCAAGGUCUUGUGGCAGUGCGUCACGUCGGGCUCCGCCCGGCCGACCCUCCACUAGCCUGUUGGUGCCCUGCACUGAGACAGUGUUCACUACACCAGUCGGCGGCGCUCACGUUUCGGGUACUUAUCCGACCCGUCUUGAAACACGGACCAAGAAGUCUAACAUGUGCGCGAGUCAUUGGGCUGAAAACCCAAAGGCGGAAUGAAAGUAAAGGAAGCUUUGCUUUCUGAGGGAGGAUGAGCGUGUCAGCUGAAAGGGCGGCGCUCCGCACUCCCGAGGCGUCUCUUUCUCAUUGCGAGUGGAGGCGCACUCAGAGCGCUCACGUUAGGACCCGAAAGAUGGUGAACUAUGCCUGGUCAGGACGAAGCCAGGGGAAACCCUGGUGGAGGUCCGUAGCGAUUCUGACGUGCAAAUCGAUCGUCAGAGCUGGGUAUAGGGGCGAAAGACUAAUCGAACCAUCUAGUAGCUGGUUCCCUCCGAAGUUUCCCUCAGGAUAGCUGGCACCCACGUGACUCGAGUCUCAUCUGGUAAAGCGAACGAUUAGAGGCAUUGGGGCCGAAACGACCUCAACCUAUUCUCGAACUUUAAAUAGAUGAGAGCUCCGGCUUGCUUGGUAGUGAAGCCGGAGACUCGGAUCAGGGCGCCCAGUGGGCCGAUUUUGGUAAGCAGAACUGGCGCUGUGGGAUGAACCAAACGCAGAGUUAAGGCGCCUGAAUCGACGCUCAUCGGAACCCAUGAAAGGCGUUGGUUGCUUAAGACAGCAGGGCGGUGGCCAUGGAAGUCGGAAUCCGCUAAGGAGUGUGUAACAACUCACCUGCCGAAGCAACUAGCCCUGAAAAUGGAUGGCGCUGUAGCGUCGUGCCUAUACUCUGCCGUCAACGGCAAAUCGGGCGGCCUCUCGAAAGAGGGGCGGCGCCGUUAAGCCUUGACGAGUAGGAGGGCCGCGGCGAUGGCGCCGAAGGGUCUGGGCGCAAGCCCGCCUGGAGCCGUCGCCGGUGCAGAUCUUGGUGGUAGUAGCAAAUACUCCAGCGAGGCCCUGGAGGACUGAUGUGGAGAAGGGUUUCUUGUGAACAGCUGUUGCACAAGAGUCAGUCGAUCCUAAGCCCUAGGAGAAAUCCUAUGUUGAUGAGUCGCCGUUAAUUUCCGAAUGACCCCGCCGUCUCUGUCGGUCUCAUUGAUAUGUGACAAUAGUUGCUAAUCAUUGGGAUAGUUGGAGAUGGUGAGUAGUUGUCUAACGGGUUGGCGCUCGUCGGGCGAAAGGGAAUCCGGUUCCUAUUCCGGAACCCGGCAGAGGAACCGUUCCAAGUCGGGCCCUCGGACGAGAGCUCGUCGGGGUGACCCAAAAAGGCCCGGAGACGCCGUCGGGAGGUCCGGGGAGAGUUGUCUCUUCUCUAUAAGCGUUCGAGUUCCAUGGAAACCUCUAGCAGGGAGAUAUGGUUUGGAACGCGAAGAGCACCGCAGCUACGGCGGUGUCCGGAUCUUCCCCACGGACCUUGAAAAUCCGGGUGAGGGCCACGAGGAACACCUCGCCGGAUCGUACCCAUAUCCGCAGCAGGUCUCCAAGGUGAAUAGCCUCUAGUCGAUAGAAUAAUGUAGGUAAGGGAAGUCGGCAAAUUGGAUCCUUAACUUUGGGAUAAGGAUUGGCUCUGAGGAUCGUGGCGCGCCGGGCUUGGUCGGGAAGUGGAGCCGCGUCAACGUGCCGGGCCUGGGCGAGGAGAACGGUUAUCCGUGAUCCGAGCUCGGUCCCGUGCCUUGGCCACCCACGGAUCUUCCUAGCUGCGAGCCGUCGGCUGUCAAGUCGCCUAACGGAGG
rnacentral:rRNA from 1 species